AUUGAACGCUGGCGGCAGGCCUAACACAUGCAAGUCGAACGGUAACAGGAAACAGCUUGCUGUUUCGCUGACGAGUGGCGGACGGGUGAGUAAUGUCUGGGAAACUGCCUGAUGGAGGGGGAUAACUACUGGAAACGGUAGCUAAUACCGCAUAACGUCGCAAGACCAAAGAGGGGGACCUUCGGGCCUCUUGCCAUCGGAUGUGCCCAGAUGGGAUCAGCUAGUAGGUGGGGUAACGGCUCACCUAGGCGACGAUCCCUAGCUGGUCUGAGAGGAUGACCAGCCACACUGGAACUGAGACACGGUCCAGACUCCUACGGGAGGCAGCAGUGGGGAAUAUUGCACAAUGGGCGCAAGCCUGAUGCAGCCAUGCCGCGUGUAUGAAGAAGGCCUUCGGGUUGUAAAGUACUUUCAGCGGGGAGGAAGGGAGUAAAGUUAAUACCUUUGCUCAUUGACGUUACCCGCAGAAGAAGCACCGGCUAACUCCGUG
rnacentral:rRNA from 1 species